GCGUUAGACUGUAGAAACACAACUAACCCGGAUAAGGGACUGAUAUUCCUCCUUCAGUCGCUGCACCCACAACUCACGAUCUCGGGGUCCGGCGUUAGUCUUCAGCACCGGGAUCUCAGACACAACACGUCGCGUGGCUUCAUCCGCCAUCUUGGACCAGGGCGCAAGAGAAACGCGGAAGUGGUGUUGCCUGUAGCUUACCUCAAGGCGCCGUCAUCUUUACUAUGGGAAGAUGAGACGUUGGGUUGCUGCCCAGCGCGGUGGCUUAUGCCUGUAAUCCCAGCACAUUGGGAGGCCAAGGCAGACAGAUCACUUGAAGUCUGGAGUUCGAGACCAGCCUGGCCAACAUGGACACUGGUCCUCCUACGCCUGAGACCGACGUUGCCAGGACCGCAGGGUCAGGGGGACUUGGCUGUCCCCCGUCUUUCAAAUAAAGCUGUUUGUCUAAAAUAAAUAAAUAAAUAAAUAAAUAAAU
rnacentral:lncRNA from 10 species